AGUAAACGACUAUUCAUAAUGUGCAUCCAUCUGCCAUAUUUUAAGGUCCAGUGAAACUGGAUGGUGUGCUAAACUUCAAGAUCCCUGAAUUGGACCAAAUAAAACAGCAAUUGAAGACCUGUAGACUCACAACAUGCUCAAGGACUCUUCAGAGAGGACCUGGACUUAUGAUGUUUAGUUUAUCACUUAUAAGUCGCUUAUGCCACAUCCAUCACAGCAUAUGUCAUGUCCGUCACACGAGUUAUUCAAGCCUAAACAG